rnacentral:piRNA from 1 species
CACACUGUCUCAUUUCUUUAUAUUCGGUGCA